GGGGUGGGGGGGGGCUGGAGGACUAAAGAAGGGGUUAGAGGUGGUAGGAGUGGCGGCGUGGGGGCUGGAGGACUAAAGAAGGGGUUAGAGGUGGUAGGAGUGGCGGCGUGGGGGCUGGAGGACUAAAGAAGGGGUUAGAGAUGGUAGGAGUGGCGGCGUGGGGGGCUGGAGGACU